CAAAGAUUAAGCCAUGCAUGUCUAAGUACAAACUAUAUUAAAGUGAAACCGCGAAAGGCUCAUUAAAUCAGUUAUGGUUCCUUAGAUCGUACCACAAUUACUUGGAUAACUGUGGUAAUUCUAGAGCUAAUACAUGCAAACAGAGCUCUGACCGGAGACGGAAGGAGUGCUUUUAUUAGAUCAAAACCAAUCGGCGGCAGUAGCAUUUCGGUGUUAUUGUUCGUCGCUCAAUAUAUGGUGAAUCUGAAUAACUUUAUGCUGAUCGCAUGGUCUUGUACCGGCGACGCAUCUUUCAAAUGUCUGCCUUAUCAACUGUCGAUGGUAGGAUCUGCGCCUACCAUGGUUGUAACGGGUAACGGGGAAUCAGGGUUCGAUUCCGGAGAGGGAGCCUGAGAAACGGCUACCACAUCCAAGGAAGGCAGCAGGCGCGCAAAUUACCCACUCCCGGCACGGGGAGGUAGUGACGAAAAAUAACGAUACGGGACUCAUCCGAGGCCCCGUAAUCGGAAUGAGUACACUUUAAAUCCUUUAACGAGGACCAAUUGGAGGGCAAGUCUGGUGCCAGCAGCCGCGGUAAUUCCAGCUCCAAUAGCGUAUAUUAAAGUUGUUGCGGUUAAAAAGCUCGUAGUUGAAUUUGUGUUCCGCACUGUCGGUUCACCGCCCGCGGUGCUAACUGGCAUGUUUGCGGAACGUCCUGCCGGUGGAUGUUCAGUAAGUGAUUUCGGUCAUUUACACAUCCGACUUAUAAAUCCUGUCGCGGUGCUCUUAACUGAGUGUCGAGGCGGGCCGGCACGUUUACUUUGAACAAAUUAGAGUGCUCAAAGCAGGCUAACUAAUGCCUGAAUAAUUAGUGCAUGGAAUAAUGAAACAGGACCUUGGUUCUAUUUUGUUGGUUUUCGGAACCCCAAGGUAAUGAUUAAUAGGGACAGAUGGGGGCAUUCGUAUUGCGACGUUAGAGGUGAAAUUCUUGGAUCGUCGCAAGACGG
rnacentral:rRNA from 1 species